rnacentral:rRNA from 1 species
AUGAGGGCUAAUGAUAUAAGCAAGAGGUCCAAAUCUUCGUCAUCGUCUAAUACUCCGUCGGCUACCACGACCACGGGAGGGGUGGUGCCCAUGCAGAUUGCCACAGCCACACAUGCUCCCUGUGGCCCUUCGUCGCCGGGGAAAUUCAUUGCUGUUACACCACCGAACCCGCAUCGGCGUACGUCUUCCAAGCCAGCUUCUCCGACUUCUCAGGGGUCUUCACCGUUGGGUGGCCCGAUUACAACUCCAGCGCACUUGGCGCCGAGGAACAUUUCUACUCCGGCCCAACUUCCUGAGUCGGCUAUUCGGUCGCCGCCUUCACCGACUCUACCUGUGGUUCGACUCCACCGUGACGAGACACAUUCCUCACUGGAGGGGCGUGCAUUUCCGGAGGGCGCCGCAGCGGAUGUGCCGCCGCUUCCUUCGUCUGGACAGCAGUCACCCUCUCGACGGGGGGUGAUCUUCUCCCCGUCUGUUCGGGCUGAUCACGAGCUGGCGAUGGCGGAGCUGCGGGCUCUGUCGUCUGCGCCAUCAUCACUAGGAGGGGCGUCGACGACCGGUGCGAUCGCGGCGGAGGAGGAUGAAGCACAGCCCUCGCGGUCUUCGACAUCAUCGUCGGACCCAUCUACGCUGCCUUUCAGGGUCUCCGGGACACUUGCUGCUGCAGAAUCCACACCCACACCCCUCAGAUGUAGCGGCCGUCACCUCGUUAGUGCUGACGGCGCAUCAGCUACCGACGAGGAUUCGAUGCUGAAGGCCAUGCGCAUAACGGCUUCUCGCAACCUCGACUUCAAAGGUACUUCCGCUCGCAAAUCUAUUCUGUCUUUUGAUAAAGCCAAAGUUUCUUCAAAUAUUGCUAGUCUUGGUAUUUCAUUAGGAAGAAAUUAA